AUGAACGCUGGCGGCGUGCCUCAUACAUGCAAGUCGAGCGAACAGACGAGGAGCUUGCUCCUCUGACGUUAGCGGCGGACGGGUGAGUAACACGUGGAUAACCUACCUAUAAGACUGGGAUAACUUCGGGAAACCGGAGCUAAUACCGGAUAAUAUAUUGAACCGCAUGGUUCAAUAGUGAAAGACGGUUUUGCUGUCACUUAUAGAUGGAUCCGCGCUGCAUUAGCUAGUUGGUAAGGUAACGGCUUACCAAGGCGACGAUGCGUAGCCGACCUGAGAGGGUGAUCGGCCACACUGGAACUGAGACACGGUCCAGACUCCUACGGGAGGCAGCAGUAGGGAAUCUUCCGCAAUGGGCGAAAGCCUGACGGAGCAACGCCGCGUGAGUGAUGAAGGUCUUCGGAUCGUAAAACUCUGUUAUUAGGGAAGAACAAAUGUGUAAGUAACUAUGCACGUCUUGACGGUACCUAAUCAGAAAGCCACGGCUAACUACGUG
rnacentral:rRNA from 1 species